AAGAGGCAAGCGUUGUGGUUAAUUAGUAACAAGUGCUUCUCCUCCCAGCGAGAGGCCAGUUGUGAUGUGUGUGAUUGCGUAGCGAUACCACAGAAGUAGAAACAGGAAGCCAACUUCACAAAAAAGACGAUUCAAAGAGGGUUUUGGUGCGUGUAUGAUGGGUUCAACCAGGACAGGACCUUUAGCCCGGAGGCCCGACAAUUCGGCCUUCAAGCAGCAGCGUCUGCCCGCCUGGUCGCCCAUGCUAACUGCCAGCACGGUGCUUCCUUUCUUCUUCUUCAUGGCUCUGAUAUGUUUGCUGCUGGGGGUGUGGCUGCUGCUCACUGUGCAGAGCGUACAGGAAGUCCGGGUGGACUACACAGACAUCGGCGCGUGUGCCGUCUGUCACGACAUGCGUAAGAACGUGAGCAACGCGGCAAAGCUCUGCACUUGCAAACUGGACUUUCGCAUCAACAAGGCCCUGAAGGGUGAUGUCUUUUUCUACUACGGCCUCCAAAACUUCCACCAGAACCUGCGCAGGUACAUGGACUCCAGGGACGACGGGCAGACGGUGGGCAGGAAGACCAACCUGAAGAAACCAAGUUCUUACUGCAAACCAUUCGCCACCAAUGACAAAGGACUGCCCAUCGCUCCCUGUGGCGCUGUAGCCAACAGUAUCUUUAACGAUACAUUUAUUUUCAAAUAUCACAGGACAGCCGCCUCUGAAGACACACUGCCUUUGUUACGGAAGGGCAUCAGCUGGUACACCGACAAAAACGUCAAGUAUCGCAAUCCUCAGACGGACAACUUGAGCCUCGCUGAAGUCUUCCAAGGCACUGCCCCGCCUCCCUACUGGCACAAGCCUGUUUACGAGCUGGACGUCCACGACCCCAUCAACAACGGCUUCAUCAACGAGGACCUCAUCGUGUGGAUGAGGGAGGCGGCCUUCCCCAACUUCAAGAAGCUCUAUGCCGUCUUACACCGUGCCAACAAGCCUUUCCAAAGCGGCCUGCCCAAAGGCAACUACAGCGUGGAGAUAUCCUACAACUUCCCGGUGCAGUACUUCCGUGGCAGAAAGCAGGUGGUCCUGACCACGCUGAACUGGUUCGGGGGGCCCAACCCGUUCCUGCCCAUCGCCUAUUUGGUCACCAGCGGCCUGGUCCUGCUGGCGGCCGUCACCCUCACCGUGGUCUGGUGCAAGUUUGGCAAAGAGGGAAAGAACAUGGAGGAGUGACGGGUCCACCUGCAGCCAUUGCUGUUGGUCGCAGCGUGACGGCCCCCAAGGCAGCCCCGCCUUUUUUAGCCGCGCCCCCGACGCCGCCCACACGCUGCGCUGGCCGGCCAUGUUGUUCCACUCCCACACGGACGAGGCGGAGAUCUGAAUGUCCGCCACGCCGCCGGACUCUAACCCCAAAGUUCCAUAGCAGCCUGGCGAGAAAGAGGAAGGUCCGUACAACUUUUCCAUGGCCAAAUUCAAGCACUUUUUAAGGACUUCCAAGAUCAACUUUCCAGUACCCUUCAAAAGCCUUCCGUGGUGAGGGUGAUGACGAGGAUCGACAGGACCAGAACCCCGGCCCCUGUCGGCCCCCUGCCCACCAUUACCGCUCCUUCCAUAGCAGCCUGCAGUCCAAAUGCAUACUGCUUGCUUCCGGACCCGCCGCACCGCUUCCAACUGCACCAAACGGCCGAUAUGGAGGACCACCGGAGCGGGUACGGGAACGGUGCUCAGAUUGUGGCUCUUAUUCGGCCUCAAAUUCCAGUGAUUGACUCACUAUUAUGGAGGUAAGUUGCUGAGGGGGCUACUUCCUCCAAUUAGGCUCCUCCCCCUGCGGGCUGCCGACACCCCCGCAAGUCCGAAGGGGAUCUUCAAGUCACCUACCGGUAAUAUAGGUGCGCUUCUUUUCCUAGUUUUACGGUAACAGAAUACACACUGAACACAAGAAAUGUAUAAAUCAGUGUUUUUCAGCCACUGUGCUAUGGUACACUAGUGAGUAGUGUGCCGUGAGAUACUGUUUGGUCUGCCGUGGGAGAUUAUGUAAUUUCACCUAAUUGGGUUAAAAAUAUUUGUAUUGAGUUGUGUGGUCCUCUGUUGCCCUCUGUGUUUUAAAAUUGUGAUUUCUAUUUACUGUUUUAAUUGGUUUCAACCUUAAAAUCGUUUUUAAUCAUAUUUAUUUUAUAUUGUUUUCAUAUUGGUUUUACAUGUAUUUAUUUUUAUUUUUUGUUUUUAUUCAGUCAUUGGUAGAGCUCAGGAUAGUAUUUGAAUGCCCAUCCAUCCAUCCAUUUUCUACCACGUAUUCCCUUUUGGGUUCGCAGGGGGCGCUGGCGCCUAUCUCAGCUACAAUCGGGCGGAAGGCGGGGUACACCCUGGACAAGUCGCCACCUCAUCGCAGGGCCAACACAGAUAGACAGACAACAUUCACGCUCACAUUCACACACUAGGGCCAAUUUAGUGUUGCCAAUCAACCUAUCCCCAGGUGCAUGUCUUUGAAAGUGGGAGAAAGCCGGACUACCCGGAGGGAACCCACGCAUUCACGGGGAAACAUGCAAACUCCACACAGAAAGAUCCCGAGCCUGGGAUUGAACACAGACGCACUAACCCCUCUGCCACCGUGAAGCCAGUAUUUGAAUGUUGUUUUUAAUAUUGUUGUGCAGCACUUUGGAAACAUUUUGUUGUUUAAAUGUGCUAUAUAAAUAAAGUGGAUUGGAUUGGA